UGUGCAGCUCCACGAUAUUUCCCUGUCAAAUGACAAUGAUCACGUACCUUGUCGUUUCCAACGAAAGGUUUUUUACACAUAACAUAUUGUUGCUAAUUGAAAAUCAUCAAUUUGUUUAGGUGAUAGAUCCUCCAUUUGUAAAUUCCUCUUUAAACAUGAAUGUACUUGACAUGCCAACAUCUUCAUCUGUUCUGCGAACCACUCAAUACAGUUGGGGCCUCGGUGAACUUUCAGUUGAGAUAAUGAAUCAUCAUAACUACAUUUUAUGUAGAAAGCAACACUAUGUGGGAUGUGAUGAUCAUUAGCUUUAGUGUCUAUCAUACAUUCCAAGUCUGCAUAGACAGCGAAUGGAACAAUUUCCGCAUGUUUAAAAUUUUUGAAGUUCAAUAUUUUUCGGUUUUCUUCUGGCAUAAUCAUUCUCACUUUGUUUAAAUUUGUACAAUCAUCCCAGUGUUUUUUGAAGGAAUGUUGAUGACUGAAAUGGCAUAGACAUUGGUCACAUAACCAUGUAAGACCUUUUCGUUUUGAAAUUUGAGAGCUGACUAAACGUGAUAAAUUGCGAAUCCACGCAAAAUGAAAAAAUGAUUCAUCAAAUUCAUCCAAAUUACUCUCAACCAUCAAUAAAUGGAUAGUUUCUCGAGUGGCUAGUCUCUUACUCAAGUACACAGGAACGAUGGUGUUACUGUUACCGUUCUGCUCUAUGCCAUAAACAUUACUCCUGAGGUCAUUCAUUUCCUUAAACUUAGGAUGCUUUUGAGUCUCAUAGGAAAAUUGAGCCCUUCAUACUUGAGUAUGUUCCGAUAAUGAGGAUAUGAACUCGGACCAUUUGCAUUAGUAUUUGUUGGAUGAAGAGCGGCUACAACUGCCCACAAGAAACAACGCUGAUCGCUGUUUUGUAUAUUAACUACGGCUUUUUUUGGUUUGAAUAUUCUUUGGUAACUCAAUGAAUGUUGAAUUUCCACCAGUCAAAGGCUCAAAUUUGUUGAUAUUGACCACUAAAUUUAUCAUGUCACUCAAUGACCAACCGGAGCCAGUUUCUUGAAAGUCUUCCAGUUUUGUCUGAAGAUCACUAAUAACAUAUUGAUUGAACCAAUCAUUUAAAUCUGUUGCCGGGAAAAUCACUUCAUUUUUUGUAGUAAAGUGCUUCGUUUCGUCUUGAAUGUCCUCUAAGUGUGUUAAUGUAAAGUUACAUGAGAGCACACAUUUCACUCUGAUAUUACCAUCAUUAUUUCGAGCAUUUGCCAAACGAGUAACAAUAACGGUUUUGCAAUCCUUCACGAAUAAAUUGACAUCUUUGUGAAUCAAAUUAAUCACGACUCCUGUCUUGAUUCGAUAUUUGAAUGCUGACUGUAGAUCCUUCCAUUGUACUCGAUGGAAGAUCUUGUUGACAGAUUUUUUUCUCUUCAUUCCACCACCAUAUUUCAAAUGGUGUUUAAAAAUUGCAACAUAUCUCAGUAAUUGACCGAUCGUAGCUUGAACCCCACUUUUUUCCCCACUAGAUUGCACAUUUUUAAGAUAUCUGUUUAACAACUUGAUAUUUUUAAUUGCGAAAUUAUUUACAUUCUCUAUCUCAUCAGGUGGAGGAUAGAGAAGAUUCUCAGAUACUUCCUGCAACACUCGCAACAAUUUCUUUCUCUGUCCAUCCAUGAUAGGUGGGAUUCUGAAUACUGAGCAGCUCGAGAGAAUUUCCAGCCUUAAAUACGCUCAAGAUCAUGACUCAUUUCCUAUGGAAAUUAUGAGUCAUUUGUGUACAAAACAAAAAAACAAGUUCAAGCGCUCAGAUUUCACGUUCUCGAAGUGCUGGAACAUUCAAGAAUUUACUGGAGGCAUCAUGAAAUUCCUCAGCUACUUUUGGAGUGUGCAGUUGAAGGAGAUUCGUUACCUCAGAGAUACCUCAAGCAAAAGAACUUAUUUUUCUACCAAUUUAUUCAACGGACGGAAAAAUGGAUCUAUCGUUAAUUAAUAACAUUGCAAGCAGCAACUACUUGCCGACUAAGAAGAUGAUGGAGCUCGACCCCACGAUUAAUUACUCUGUUACCAGAUUUAAAACCACUCCAGAAGAUUUGGUAAGAGUAUAAUCGUCACUAUUGAUAAUACCUUUACGGUAUUCUUGCCGGAGAGAGUGGUGAAAUUGCUUCUUGGGGAUGUAACAGUCUACGAGAACCUGCAGAAAACUGCUUCAGAGAAUCGACUUCAACUCAAGUGCUUGGGUAAAGGAACAACAUUCGAAUUCAUAGAGAUUUAAGAGACACAUCGCAAACCGAAAAGAAAUCCAGCUGCAAGUGUUAUUCUUAUUUUGUACUAUUAUACAAAUCAAUAAAUCAAAAAACAAUUUUACAUUUACCAAACCCA